UACGAAGGGGGCUAGCGUUGCUCGGAAUUACUGGGCGUAAAGGGCGCGUAGGCGGGUCGGUUAGUUAGAGGUGAAAGCCCAGGGCUCAACCCUGGAAUUGCCUUUAAUACUGGCGGCCUUGAGUAUGGCAGAGGUGUGUGGAACUCCGAGUGUAGAGGUGAAAUUCGUAGAUAUUCGGAAGAACACCAGGGGCGAAGGCGACACACUGGGCCAUUACUGACGCUGAGGCGCGAAAGCGUGGGGAGCAAACAGG
rnacentral:rRNA from 1 species